UGCUAGCCCCCCACCUCGCCAUCCUUCUCCUCCUAAAGCAGGUAUCAUAACUAAUUAAGGAGAGACACCGAGACCCAGGCAGAGGGAGAACCAGGCUCCAUGCAGGGAGCCGGAUGCGGGACUCGAUCCCGGGUCUCCAGGAUCAGGCCCUGGGCUGAAGGCGGCGCUAAACUGCUGAGCCCCCCCGCCCCGGGCUGCCCUCGUAUGAGUAUUAAAUGAGUGGGAUAGUGAAUAUUACUCCCUGCUAACAUGAUGAGGAAAGGAAGUGCAGAGAGGGAAAUUUGCCCAAGAUCAUGAAGCUGGGGGAAGGGCAGAGGGAAAGGGAGAGAAAGAGUUCCAAGCAGACUCCACACUGAGCGGAGAGCCCCACACGGAGCUCUACUCCAUGACCUGAGCCCCCAUCAAGAGGCAGAUGCUUAACCAACUGUGUCACCCAGGUGCCCCUUCU